rnacentral:rRNA from 1 species
AGCGGACUUGUAGGAGCUUGCUCCUGCAGGUUAGCGGCGGACGGGUGAGUAACACGUGGGCAACCUACCUGUAAGACUGGGAUAACUUCGGGAAACCGGAGCUAAUACCGGAUGACAUAAAGGAACUCCUGUUCCUUUAUUGAAAGAUGGCUUCGGCUAUCACUUACAGAUGGGCCCGCGGCGCAUUAGCUAGUUGGUGAGGUAACGGCUCACCAAGGCGACGAUGCGUAGCCGACCUGAGAGGGUGAUCGGCCACACUGGGACUGAGACACGGCCCAGACUCCUACGGGAGGCAGCAGUAGGGAAUCUUCCGCAAUGGACGAAAGUCUGACGGAGCAACGCCGCGUGAACGAUGAAGGCCUUCGGGUCGUAAAGUUCUGUUGUUAGGGAAGAACAAGUGCUAGUUAAAUAAGCUGGCACCUUGACGGUACCUAACCAGAAAGCCACGGCUAACUACGUGCCAGCAGCCGCGGUAAUACGUAGGUGGCAAGCGUUGUCCGGAAUUAUUGGGCGUAAAGCGCGCGCAGGCGGUUUCUUAAGUCUGAUGUGAAAGCCCCCGGCUCAACCGGGGAGGGUCAUUGGAAACUGGGAAACUUGAGUGCAGAAGAGGAAAGUGGAAUUCCAAGUGUAGCGGUGAAAUGCGUAGAGAUUUGGAGGAACACCAGUGGCGAAGGCGACUUUCUGGUCUGUAACUGACGCUGAGGCGCGAAAGCGUG